rnacentral:rRNA from 1 species
GUGUCAGCAGCCGCGGUAAUACAGAGGGUGCGAGCGUUGUUCGGAAUUAUUGGGCGUAAAGCGCUUGUAGGCGGCUUGUUAAGUCGCGUGUGAAAUCCCCUGGCUUAACCAGGGAAGUGCGCGCGAAACUGGCGAGCUUGAAUGCCGGAGAGGGUCGCGGAAUUCCCGGUGUAGAGGUGAAAUUCGUAGAUAUCGGGAGGAACACCAGUGGCGAAGGCGGCGACCUGGACGGACAUUGACGCUGAGACGCGAAAGCGUGGGGAGCAAACAGGAUUAGAUACCCUGGUAGUCCACGCUGUAAACGAUGGAUGCUAGCUGUGGUGGGUGUUGACCCCUGCCGUGGCGCAGCUAACGCAAUAAGCAUCCCGCCUGGGAAGUACGGCCGCAAGGCUAAA